UACGGGGGGAGCAAGCGUUGUUCGGAUUUACUGGGCGUAAAGGGCGCGUAGGCGGCCAGCACAAGUCAGUUGUGAAAUCUCCGAGCUUAACUCGGAAAGGUCAACUGAUACUGUGCGGCUAGAGUGCGGAAGGGGCAACUGGAAUUCUUGGUGUAGCGGUGAAAUGCGUAGAUAUCAAGAGGAACACCUGCGGCGAAGGCGGGUUGCUGGGCCGACACUGACGCUGGGGCGCGAAAGCCAGGGGAGCGAACGGG
rnacentral:rRNA from 1 species